rnacentral:rRNA from 1 species
CCAAUAGCGUAUAUUAAAGUUGUUGCAGUUAAAAAGCUCGUAGUUGAAUUUUAGGCCUGACCGGGCGGUCCGUCUUUGGCGAGUACUGUCCUGUGUCGGGUCCACCUUCUGGUGAACCAGUAUGUCCUUUAUUGGGUGUGCCGGGGAGCCAGGACCAUUACCUUGAAAAAAUUAGAGUGUUUAAAGCAGGCAUUUGCUUGAAUAGAUUAGCAUGGAAUAAUAGAAUAGGACGUUGUGGUUCUAUUUUGUUGGUUUCUAGGACCACCGUAAUGAUUAAUAGGGAUAGUUGGGGGCAUUAGUAUUCAAUUGUCAGAGGUGAAAUUCUUGGAUUUAUUGAAGACUAACUACUGCGAAAGCAUUUGCCAAGGAUGUUUUCAUUAAUCAAGAACGAAAGUUAGGGGAUCGAAGACGAUCAGAUACCGUCGUAGUCUUAACCAUAAACUAUGCCGACUAGGGAUCGGACGAAGUUAAUUUUAUAAUGACGCGUUCGGCACCUUACG